rnacentral:rRNA from 1 species
UACGAAGGGUGCAAGCGUUAAUCGGAAUUCCUGGGCGUAAAGGGUGCGUAGGCGGUUCGUUAAGUCUGUCGUGAAAUCCCCGGGCUCAACCUGGGAAUGGCGAUGGAUACUGGCGAGCUAGAGUGUGUCAGAGGAUGGUGGAAUUCCCGGUGUAGCGGUGAAAUGCGUAGAGAUCGGGAGGAACAUCAGUGGCGAAGGCGGCCAUCUGGGACAACAUUGACGCUGAAGCACGAAAGCGUGGGGAGCAAACAGG